AUCCUGUCUCGAAAAACAAAAAGCAAAAGAAAAUUUUGUACACGUGUGCAUGUAGAUGGAUGUAGUGUGCAUGUAGAUGGAUGUAGUGCUCAGAGAGACUAGAAGAGUUGGGUUACAGGUGGUUGCAAGAUUCAAGUACCCAGAUGUGGGUAUUGGGAACUGAAUUCAGGUCUUCAGGAAGAGCUGUACAUGUACUUAACCACUGAGCCAUCUCUCUAGCCUCUGUAAAAUGUUUUGUAAGCUUUUUUUCUUAGAUUUAUUCAUUUAAUGUAUAUGAGUUCACUGUUGCUGUCUUCAGACACACCAGAAGAGGGCAUCAGAUCCUAUUAUAGAUAGUUGUGAGCCACCAUAUGGUUGCUGGGAAUUGAACUCAGAACCUCUGGAAGAGUAGUCGGUGCUCAAAUUAUAUAAAUAUGAGUGCUUGAGAGAUGGUUCAGCAGUUAAGAGUACUGACUGCUCUUCAGAGGACCCAGGUUCAAUUCUCAGCACCCACUGGCAACUUAAUGUCUGUAAUUCUAGUUCUAGGGAACAUGACAUCACACAGACAUACAUGCAGGCAAAACACCAAAGCACAUACAAUAAAAAUAAACAAAUUAUUUUAAAAAAGAAAUAUAUAAAUAAUGAGAAAAAGAUUGCCUUCCCAUUGAAAUAAGUAAUUUUUAGUACUAAGAAUUAAAAUCUUUAAGUGUAUUCAUAUAUAUUAUUAAAUUCUACCUAGAGGUAAAUAUGUCUAUUUCCAUAUUUUAUUUUUACUCCAAAUAUAACACUCCCAUUAACAUUGUUUCCUUUUAGAGUUAUUGAGUUAUCAAAACCAGCAAUGUGAGCAUCAUUGACAGGUCUCCUUUUUUAAAGUAAUAAUUUGUAUGUAUUCUUUGAGAAUGUAUGCAAUGUACUUUGAUUAUAAUCACCUUCCAUUUCUGCUCUCUAACUUCCUCUCUUUCUAAUUUUUUUUUUAAUAGAGACAGGGUCUAGCUAUGUAAACCAAGCUGGUGUUGAAUUUGUAGUCCUCUUGCCUUAGCCUCUUUUUGUUGUUGUUGUUUGAGACAGGGUUUCUCUGUGUAGCUCUGGCUGUCCUGGAACUCAUUCUGUAGACCAGGCUGGCCUCGAACUUAGAAAUCUACCUGCCUGCCUUCCAAGUGCUGGGAUUAAAGGCAUUGGCCACCAC
rnacentral:lncRNA from 1 species